rnacentral:rRNA from 1 species
UACAUGGGGUGCAAACGUUGCUCGGAAUUAUUGGGCGUAAAGCGCACGUAGGCGGUUUGUUAAGUCGGAUGUGAAAUCCCUCGGCUCAACUGAGGAAGUGCAUCCGAAACUGGCAAGCUUGAGUACGAAAGAGGGUCGCGGAAUUCCCGGUGUAGAGGUGAAAUUCGUAGAUAUCGGGAGGAACACCGGUGGCGAAGGCGGCGACCUGGGUCGAUACUGACGCCGAGGUGCGAAAGCGUGGGGAGCAAACAGG